GGCAGGAGACGCAUCAUUAUUACUCAGUCACACAAGGAGGAGCAUGAGUAGAGGAGGCAGGAGACGCAUCAUUAUUACUCAGUCACACAAGGAGGAGCAUGAGUAGAGGGGGCAGGAGACGCAUCAUUAUUACUCAUCACACAAGGAGGAGCAUGGGUAGAGGAGGCAGGAGACGCAUCAUUAUUACUCAGUCACACAAGGAGGAGCAUGGGUAGAGGGGGCAGGAGACCACAGCUUUGAAUUUCAAGACCUCAGUGUUUUGCCACCACAUCACACUGACUCAGGUCCAUUGUGCUCUGCUUGAUGCUCAUCCCCAUGAAUUUUUAAUUGGAAGUUGGAGGAGAAAUGAUUACGCAAGCACCAAGAAAACAUGAUGCAUGGGCGAGUUGUACUGUUUCCAAAAUAUUUAGAAAGGCAAUAAAGUCCUCAUGGUAUAGUUCCUGACUUCAACACGUUGUUUUCUGUCAGUCGCACUAAUUUCAUUCCAUUUACUAAAUGAAUUUUUAUGUGGAGAAUUUAUGAAACAUAAAUUUGGAUGGAAUAUGUAUGUGUAUCUAUAUAGAACAUGUAUAUCUAUAACUUAUGUGGUUUAAAGAUAAGUGUUUGGCGUCUGAAACAGUACUGAGAAUUAGAUGCAGACAUAGAAUUAUUUUGUCAUUUAUGUGUGCACAUGUGCAAGUGCAGAGCUGUGUGUACCCAGGGAAUGGGGGGUACACACAUAGUGUGUUCGGUCGAUGAUACUUAUGGCACAGUUUUAUGUGAGACGAUCUCAUAAUAGAAGGUAAUGGAUACCAAACUGUAUUUACAGAAAUGUGACUUGGCAAAUAUGAGGGCAGGAAAAGGAAAGCUUCAUCAGCAUGCCUGCUUUAGAGGUCUCGGUACAGGAUGGCUUUGAGGCCAGAACACAUUGCUAUUAUAUAAGUAUGUUUUGUUUUUUUUUUUCAAAUCAAAAUACAAUAUUUUUCCAUUACCAGAAAUUGAUUCUUUUACUAAAAUACUGUAGGACUAAAAAUAGAAUGUUGAAUUAAAUGACGUUGAAGAUAACAAGGGCCUGUUUUAACUCAGUGUCUCUUAGGCACCAGAGAGCCUUGUGGGCAUCUUGAUUAGAGAUGUGCUUCAGGAGGCUAAUCCGAGGAUAAUCUAUUCAGCAGAUUAUAAGCAAACAGAGAAUUAAGCCAGACUGGGAGGAGAAUGUUACAGAAAAACAACAAGAAACCUCAGAGGCUUACGGUUUAUCACAGGUUCUUAACUGGGGGUAUGGAAAUGGCUGGACGCAUGUUGAGCUGUUACAGUGCCUGGAGGAUGCCCCUGGUAUUGAGGUGAUGGGAAUCGGGAAAGGGAAACAUGCUGCACUGUAAGAAAUCUGCACAGCAGAGACUGUCACUCCUGGCGCAGGCACAGCCCUCGAGUGAGUGCUGUAACAGGCAGAGGAGUUUGGGGGAUGUUAUCUAAGAGGCAGUGUAACUGGGAAGACAGAACUUCAGGGGAGUCUGCUUUAUUUCCGAACACCAUUAUGCAGUGUUCGCUGAGACAGAGGUAGUUUAUGUACUUGUUCUUGGAGAGCACUCAAAUGCUAGGAUUCUUCCUUAAGUUUUCUCCUAAAAGAGAAGCAGGAAGCUAAUUCUUACCAGUAACAUAAAAACAAACAUUCCAGCCUUUAAAUUAUUGAAAGCAUUUUACAGGAGAGAAUUAUAGAUGAAAAUAUCUGUUUGAAAUUCAGGGCAUAAGCUUAUGAAUCAGUCUCCUUAAGUAAAAUAAAUGAAGAACUUGAUUCAUUUACUGCUGUGCUGGUGAAAUGAUUAUAAGAAGAAUUUUUGUCACGAAACUCGUUCAUUCUUUUAGCGCCUUUCCCCACAUCGACUGUGCGUCAGCCCCGCUCUAGGGCUUGAGCACUCAGUCGUGUCUUCGGGGAACUUAAUCGUGGGGAGGACUGUAAAUGAUGUCGGGGGGGUAAUCAAAGCACCGGGAGCGCAGGGAAAGUGCAAACGGAGUGACAGUGGCGUGUUUUAAAAGGGCCGGCCAAGGGGACUGUCUUGAAGAGGUGAAAUCUUGAGUAGAGACCGAAUAAAGGACAGGUGUUGGCAUGUGAAUAUGUGCGUGGAAAGAAAUUGAGCAGAAUCAGCAAAAGGCCUGAGAAUAUUUGGUCAUGUUGUAGAGACCAGUGAGCAAGAGGAAAGCUGUAGAAAUAAAGCUGGAGAGAGAGCCAAGUGCCCAGACAGAUGGGAACUCCGUGCUAGCCCAUGGAACAGCUUUUAUUUGAAGGCACCUUAAAGGCCACUAGAAGAUCCUGAGUAUUAAGAGAGGUGCAAUCUGAAAAAUGUUUCAAAAGUUUCACUCUGAGCUCCAUGUAAUUUUUUAAAAUUUAAUUUUAACUUAAUAUUGGAGGAUAAUUGAUUUAGAACAUAGUAUUAAUUUCAGGUGCAUGGAAAAGCAGUUAACUUAUACAUAUACAUAUAAUCCAUGUUGUUAGGUUCUUUCCCUGUCUAGGCUAUUACGGAAUAUUGAGCAGAGGUCCCUGCGCAGUGCAGUAGCUCCUUGUUGAUUUUCUCUGGUCCAUGUUGUAGUGUGCGUAUGUUCACCCAAACUCCCAAUCCAUCCCUACCACAUUUCCCCUUUGUUAACCAUGUCUGUUUUCCAAGUCUGGGAGUCUGUUUCUUUAUUUGCAAACAAGUUCAUUUGUAUCAUUUUUAGAUUCCACAUAUAAGUGAUAUCAUAUGAUAUUUGUCUUUGCCUAACUUCACUUAGUAUGAUAAUCAGUAGUUGCAUCCGUGUUGCAGCAAAUGGUGUUAUUUCGUUAUGUUUUAUGGCUGAGAGGUAUUCCAUUGUGUAUAUGUACCACAUCUUCCUUAUCCAUUCCUCUGUCAAUUGCCAUGUAGGUUGCUUCCGUGUCUUGGCUGCACUGAGCAUUGGACUGCAUGUAUUCUUUCGAAUUAUGUUUUUUUUUUUCCUCAUAGAUGCCCAGGGGUAGGAUUUCUGGAUCCUCUGGUAGUUCUGUUUUUAGUUCUUGGAGGAAUCUCCAUACUGGUUUCUAUAGUGGUUGUACCAAUUUACAUUCCCACCAACACAAUAGGAGAGCUGCCUUUUCUCCACACCUCUCCAGCAUUUAUGGUUUGUAGACUUUCUGAUGAUGGCCAUUCUGACUGGUGUGAAAUAGUACUUCAUUAUAGUUUUGAUUUGCGUUUCUCUGAUAAUUAGUGAUGUUGAACAGCUUGUCACAUAUUUUUUGCCCACCUGUAUGUCUUCUUUGGAGAAAUGUCUAUUUGGAUUUUCUGCUUAUUUUUCAGAUAGAAAGUGAAGAAAGAAACCCACACACCUAUGGUUAACUAAUCUAUGACAAAGGAGGUGAGAAUAUACAAUGGAGAAAAGAGUCUCUUCAAUCCAUAAGUAGUGCUGGGAAAACUGGAUAACUACAUGUAAAGAAUAAAAUUAGAACAUUCUCUAACACUAGACACAAUAAUAAAGUCAAAAUUGAUUAAAGACCUAAAUGUAAGACCAGAUACUAUGAAACUCUAAGAGUAAAACAUAGGCAGAACAUUCUUUGACAUAAAUUGCAUCAAUAUCUUUUGGGAUCCACCUCCCAGAGUAAUGAAAAUAAAAACAAAGAUAAAUGGGAAUUAAGUAACUUAAAAGCUUUUGCACAGCAAAGGAAACCAUAAACACAAUGAAAAAAACAAUCUGCAGAAUGGGAGAAAGUAUUUGCAAAUGAAGCAGCCAAUAAGGAAUUAUCCUCCAAAACAGACAAACAACUCACGCAAC
rnacentral:lncRNA from 1 species